GAGACCGCAGCUGCGAGCCAGUGCCCGGUGGCACUCCUGCCAGCUUUGGCACCCAAAUGCAACUGGAGAAGCUGGGGCAGGAAUCAUUCAUAUGGGACAAAACAAUAAGCCUCCCUGCUUGCCUUUUAAUUUCUUGCGGUGCCAGCUGUUCUAGAGCAUCAUCUCCCUUCCCUUGGUGGACCCUUCCUGCCCCAAACGCGGCUGAUGCACCGGGAGCGGAAUAGAAAGGCCCGGUGCCCGCCCGCGGCUCGCAGCGAUCCCGAGGGGCAGGAGGAGAGGAGGGCCGGAGCGGGGCCGGGCGGAGCGGGAGGAGGCGCCGGGCAGCGGGGCGCUGAGGCUGGCAGGAGGCGGCCAUGCCGUUCGUGGAGCUGGAGACCAGCCUGCCGGCAGAGCGGCUGCCGCCGGGGCUGCCGCUGAAGCUGUGCGAAGCCACCGCCGCCAUCCUGGGCAAACCCGCCGAGCGGGUGAACGUGACGGUGCGCAGCGGGAUGCCCAUGGUGCUGGCGGGCUCGGCCGAGCCCUGCGCACAGCUGCUCGUCUCCUCCAUCGGCGUGGUGGGCUCGGCGGAGCAGAACCAGGGGCACAGUGCCCGCUUCUUCGACUUCCUGACGGCGGAGCUGGGCCUCGGCCCCGAGAGGUCUGGCUAAAAACAUGGCUGGGCCACUCACCGAGCAGCGUGGGGACCGCUGCUCUCUGAACGUGAGUGACUCCAGUUGGGAUGACCGGUGCAAACCCAGAGCAAAUGGGCCUUCCUGAAGGAUUGUCAUUCGCUUUUACCCGCUGGAGCCCUGGCAGAUUGGCAAGAACAGAACAGUCAUGACUUUCCUGUGAUCCCUCGAGCGGCCGUUUGGAACAAAGCAGUGAUGAAGACAACCCAGAGAUGACCUGCUCCGUCUACCUUGAUUCCUCUUAGAUCAGCUCUGAUAGUUCUGCACCUUCACCUGUCUGAUUCUCUUCUGCUUUUGGACCCUGUGCAUAUAAAGAGUGGGGCAGUCAGCUGUACUGUUAUAAUUAAAGUAAUUCAGUCUUUGUCUCAAGCUUUCCUUGUAGCAUAAAGGCUCUGCAGCUUCCUAAGCCAUUGGCAAUCUGGAGAUGGCCAUACUUAACGGGCUGAGACACAGCUCUCGCAGAAGUCCAGAACAUAUUUGACUUUACUGAGAACUGCAGAGGUUCUCCAUUUUAUCCAGAUUACCUCAUACUUUGCAAUGCAGAAAGAUCCUCCUUUCUGUUUCUCUGUGGCAAGAGGUGGCUCCCAGGCUGGCUGAGGAGAACUGGAAGUAUUCCUUCAAAUUAUUCUGUUUUCAGGCUCCCAGAAAGCCCUUCCUGGAAAGAGAGGUGAUUGCUGGGAGACAAGCUUAUGCAUUUAUUUCAUUGUUUAUUUAAGGCACAUGUCUGAUUUUAUGCUCUGUGGUCUAGCGUUGCCAGCCGCAGGUGGCUGCUCCCACAAAGUUUUGUUUGCCCACAAAAUCUUUGUGGCUGGAUGUUGGCGUGUCAGUGGCUGUGUUGAAGAGGGAGGUGCUUGUGAAGAGCUGCACUAUGCCACAGGAGAAUGUUGUGAAGGUUCUGCCUCUGCUACCUUUAAUCCCUGUUGCUUACCCUCAUGUUGAAAAUAGUUUUCAUUUCCUCGCUGUUACAGGGAGUUUAUGGAAGAGACAGUCAUCUCAUUGUGUCCUGUGGCUGUUUUCAGCUCACUGCCCUCUGCAGAGGGGCUGCUGUAGUCAUCCACAAGCGACUUAGCACACAGGCAGCAUUAUGCAUAUUGCACUCAGAACCUUACAACUUCUGUUGCUGUUGCACUUCACUCUGAAGUGUUUUGGAUUUUAGGACCUAUAUGCUCCAUCACUUUAUAACUGGAAUGUACGUGGUACUUUAUUAAAAGCACAGUAACGUUAUCUCAGCCUUCCACUGAAAAUGAAAACAUGCAUUGGCUUCCCCUCCACUUUGUGGCUUUGUCAGGUGCCAGGCACAGAAGCACAGAGGAGCUAAUCACAUGCCCUUGAAAUGUAGAGGUCCAUGAAACACAAGUCUGAAGAGUCUCCAUUCCUUUGUAAUCCUGAUUAGAUUCUUGUUUGUUUAUGUCUUGAGCUCUCAAGCUAGUUGAAAAUAUCCCUUCUAAUUAUCACUUGAAGUUGGUUAUUCCUUAUGCAGCAUAAAUACCUUCUGUUUGCAAAAUCCCCCUUCAGGGGGAGCCACACUAUCUGAUUAAUAAAAUGUAUCAAAACCUCUUU